AGUUCCUCAACCAUAGCACUGACUACAAUGUCUAAUUUGUUUAAACGAAAAAAAAAAUUAAACUAAAUAUAAAUAGAGAAUUAGUCAUAUUUUGAAAAUUUCCAUGUACUUGCGGCGAAUUGAAUAACCUUUAGGCGAAAAUUUGCGAUUUUGAAUUUACAACCCAAUACAUUUACUACAUCGAAGAGUUAAGAGAGACCUGAGUAGACCUAAACAACCCGUUAACUUAUGUCGCCGAUCUCUGAGCUGUGCUGUGUAACUUGACUAAAAAAAUGGUUUUCUAUUCAAAAGGCAUAAGCAAACAUGAAAUGAGCGAGUGUGAGCUCUUUCUUCUUCUUAUCGGCUGCUCUCCACAUUUAUCUAUUUGAAUGCAAUAACCAUGUAUACAACGGUAUCGUAAACGUGUGGAGGCGUUGGAAAAAUUUGGUCAAAUGUUUAUUUGUUUAGAUAAUUUACUAAUGCAUGCAUGUAUUAUAGUACAGUAGUAAAAUCACUAAAUGAGCCGUGAAUCUCCGUGCGAAAUGUGAAAUGUGAAAAGUGAAUAUGUUUAUUACAAAAUUAUUAUUUAUUAUUGCUAAAACAAGAGAACUCAGAAAUGCCAUGAUUUACUUUUUGAACAAAUAAACUAAUGGAAUAUGUUGAGGC